GAUGAACGCUAGCUACAGGCUUAACACAUGCAAGUCGAGGGACCGGCGCACGGGUGAGUAACAUGUAUACCACCUGCCCUUUACUCGGGGAUAGCCUUUCGAAAGAAAGAUUAAUACCCGAUAUAAAGGAUGGGGAUGCGUUUCAUUAGGUUGUUGGUGAGGUAACGGCCCACCAAGCCUUCGAUGGAUAGGGGUGCUGAGAGGCAGGCACCCGGCAUUUGAACGGAGACACGGUCCAAAAUCGUAGGGGAGGCAGCAGUUAGGAAUAUUAGGCGAGGGGGGCUAGUCUGAACCAGCCAAGUGUCUUGAAAGAGCAAUGCGUAUGAGUGGUAAACUUCUGUUGUAGAAGAAUCUGUAUUAUAAGAAUAAGGAUCGGCUAACUCCGUGCCAGCAGCCGCGGUAAUUC
rnacentral:rRNA from 1 species